rnacentral:rRNA from 1 species
GAUGAACGCUAGCGGCAGGCCUAACACAUGCAAGUCGAGGGGUAACAGGGAGUGCUUGCACUUUGCUGACGACCGGCGCACGGGUGCGUAACGCGUAUACAAUCUACCUUUUGCUAAGGGAUAGCCCAGAGAAAUUUGGAUUAAUAUCUUAUAGUAUGUUGCAUUCGCAUGGGGGCAAUAUUAAAGGUUACGGCAAAAGAUGAGUAUGCGUUCUAUUAGCUGGAUGGUGUGGUAACGGCACACCAUGGCGACGAUAGAUAGGGGCCCUGAGAGGGGGAUCCCCCACACUGGUACUGAGACACGGACCAGACUCCUACGGGAGGCAGCAGUGAGGAAUAUUGGGCAAUGGAGGCAACUCUGACCCAGCCAUGCCGCGUGCAGGAAGACUGCCCUAUGGGUUGUAAACUGCUUUUAUACAGGAAGAAACACUCCCACGUGUGGGGGCUUGACGGUACUGUAAGAAUAAGGAUCGGCUAACUCCGUGCCAGCAGCCGCGGUAAUACGGAGGAUCCAAGCGUUAUCCGGAAUCAUUGGGUUUAAAGGGUCCGUAGGUGGAUAAUUAAGUCAGAGGUGAAAUCCUGCAGCUCAACUGUAGAAUUGCCUUUGAAACUGGUUAUCUUGAGUUAUUAUGAAGUAGUUAGAAUAUGUAGUGUAGCGGUGAAAUGCAUAGAUAUUACAUAGAAUACCAAUUGCGAAGGCAGAUUACUAAUAAUCAACUGACGCUCAUGCACGAAAGCGUGGGGAGCAAACAGGAUUAGAUACCCUGGUAGUCCACGCCGUAAACGAUGUCUACUCGGAGUUUGGUGACUUAGUCACUGGGCUCCCAAGCUAACGCAUUAAGUAGACCGCCUGGGGAGUACGGCCGCAAGGUUAAAACUCAAAUGAAUUGACGGGGGCCCGCACAAGCGGUGGAGCAUGUGGUUUAAUUCGAUGCAACGCGAAGAACCUUACCUACUCU